rnacentral:tRNA from 1 species
GCCAGUGUUGCUCAGUGGAUAGAGCAUUGGCCUACGGACUGAAGGGUCCCCGGUUCGAUUCCGGUCAAGGGCA